rnacentral:rRNA from 1 species
GAACGCUGGCGGCAGGCCUAACACAUGCAAGUCGAGCGGUAGCACAGAGAGCUUGCUCUCGGGUGACGAGCGGCGGACGGGUGAGUAAUGUCUGGGAAACUGCCUGAUGGAGGGGGAUAACUACUGGAAACGGUAGCUAAUACCGCAUAACGUCGCAAGACCAAAGUGGGGGACCUUCGGGCCUCAUGCCAUCAGAUGUGCCCAGAUGGGAUUAGCUAGUAGGUGGGGUAACGGCUCACCUAGGCGACGAUCCCUAGCUGGUCUGAGAGGAUGACCAGCCACACUGGAACUGAGACACGGUCCAGACUCCUACGGGAGGCAGCAGUGGGGAAUAUUGCACAAUGGGCGCAAGCCUGAUGCAGCCAUGCCGCGUGUGUGAAGAAGGCCUUCGGGUUGUAAAGCACUUUCAGCGGGGAGGAAGGCGUUAAGGUUAAUAACCUUGGCGAUUGACGUUACCCGCAGAAGAAGCACCGGCUAACUCCGUGCCAGCAGGCGCGGUAAUACGGAGGGUGCAAGCGUUAAUCGGAAUUACUGGGCGUAAAGCGCACGCAGGCGGUCUGUCAAGUCGGAUGUGAAAUCCCCGGGCUCAACCUGGGAACUGCAUUCGAAACUGGCAGGCUAGAGUCUUGUAGAGGGGGGUAGAAUUCCAGGUGUAGCGGUGAAAUGCGUAGAGAUCUGGAGGAAUACCGGUGGCGAAGGCGGCCCCCUGGACAAAGACUGACGCUCAGGUGCGAAAGCGUGGGGAGCAAACAGGAUUAGAUACCCUGGUAGUCCACGCCGUAAACGAUGUCGAUUUGGAGGUUGUGCCCUUGAGGCGUGGCUUCCGGAGCUAACGCGUUAAAUCGACCGCCUGGGGAGUACGGCCGCAAGGUUAAAACUCAAAUGAAUUGACGGGGGCCCGCACAAGCGGUGGAGCAUGUGGUUUAAUUCGAUGCAACGCGAAGAACCUUACCUGGUCUUGACAUCCACAGAACUUUCCAGAGAUGGAUUGGUGCCUUCGGGAACUGUGAGACAGGUGCUGCAUGGCUGUCGUCAGCUCGUGUUGUGAAAUGUUGGGUUAAGUCCCGCAACGAGCGCAACCCUUAUCCUUUGUUGCCAGCGGUUCGGCCGGGAACUCAAAGGAGACUGCCAGUGAUAAACUGGAGGAAGGUGGGGAUGACGUCAAGUCAUCAUGGCCCUUACGACCAGGGCUACACACGUGCUACAAUGGCAUAUACAAAGAGAAGCGACCUCGCGAGAGCAAGCGGACCUCAUAAAGUAUGUCGUAGUCCGGAUUGGAGUCUGCAACUCGACUCCAUGAAGUCGGAAUCGCUAGUAAUCGUAGAUCAGAAUGCUACGGUGAAUACGUUCCCGGGCCUUGUACACACCGCCCGUCACACCAUGGGAGUGGGUUGCAAAAGAAGUAGGUAGCUUAACCUUCGGGAGGGCGCUUACCACUUUGUGAUUCAUGACUGGGG